UUUUAUUUACAUGCCAUAUGGGUAGUAGCGUGGGGCUGUUAACCUCAAGGUCACUGGUUCGAUCCCAGUAUCGAGCG